CCGUGCUAGGUGGGAAGAUAGCGGUGUCCUGUAACCUGCAAUCCGCUUUAGCAGGACUGAAUUCCUUUCCUAGGUUGUAUGUAUUGCAAGGCCAGCCUCUUGCACGUAGUGUUGACGUUUGGGUCCUGCGCAAUGGAAACCCAUGAACCAUGUCAGGUCCGGAAGGAAGCAGCAUUAAGUGGAACUUUUCAUGUGCCGCGGGGUUGCCUAGAUCGAGCCAACGACAAGAGUAACGCUUGUGUGCAUCAGUCGAAGAAAGGUGCACGG
rnacentral:SRP_RNA from 1 species